UGGUUGCCAGAGGCCCUCAAAUGGAAAGUGUUCAUUCACCAUGUGCAUCCACUAGACACAGACAGAGCACCCCCAACCCCAGGUGUGUGUGUUGGGGGGGGGGGGGAGUCUGGACUGGGACUUUUGGCUCCAGCCUGGAUUUCCCCACUGCUCUGUCCUGGGCAGAACACAGAAGCAACCCGCGCUACCACGCUUUAGUGCCCAGUGCCCAGUGCCCGGGCUCGCCUCUGCCCUAGGUCCUCUCCCACCCACUCCAGCGCCUUCUGUUGAACUCUGGCGCGGGUUUCCGGCAGGCAAUCGAGGCCCGAGCUCAGGAGCCCCAGUCAUCACGGUUCAGUCUGGCCUUCCACUUCCCAGGCCACUUGGCCUCUACUCACAGCAAGAAACUUCUCCCCCGAGAAGGGCAGCUCAGACUGCCAGGGAGCAGGGGUAAGAGGCUAUGGCGCGGGUCCUGCCGGGCGCCCAGGAGCUGCUUCCCUGGGGGACUAGCGGCAGUGAAUGGAGAUGGGGCUCUCGGCUCCCUUCGGGGUUCUGACGCGAGCUUGGCCGGCGGGGACCCCAGAGGGUCGCUCUGCUGAUUCGCGAUGCAGCACCCACCCGACGCCUGCGCUCCGCGGCCGGCACAGCCUCACGUCCUCGCCCGGGCCGGGCUCCGCCCAGGAGCAGCACCUGGCCCCGGGGCCUGUACACAGGAGGUGAUCAGUGACAUACUGCUGACAAGUGGAGCAACCAAUGGGAGCACCGGGGAAGGUGUGGAUGACGUUUCACCACCCAGAGCUCCUCUUUGACCCCCACUCCCCGCUGUGUUAAGAAGCCACCCAGCCUCAGCUCUGUACAGAUUCGAGAUUCGAUUCGCUUCUCCCGCUUAUCACCAUUUCUACCCAAAUGGGCUACAUACUCCCUGCUCUAACCAGGGGUUUUGCCUGAACAUCUUGGAGAGGGGAAGAUGAAUCCCUGAAGAUGUAAACAAAGGAUGUGUUCAUACAUACUGGGGGAAGUCAGAUUUUCAAAGACAUCUAGGAACCAGAGCUGUAGAAUGAUUUUUCUACAUAAACAAAUCAUGGGAUAUUAAUAAUAUCUAUAGCACAAUAUUAAGAUAAAUUUUUAGCUUCCUUUUUUUUUACAUAGGCUUUUCUCUUUUUGCCCCAAAUUGUGUUGACAACCUAGAAUGUCACCAUAGGAGAAUCUUUAAUAACUUGAUAAGAUCUUUGUGAUAUAUAGUUAACUACAAAAAGCAUGUGAUUAAUGAAAAUCUAUAACUACAUUUUGAUAAGAAAUUCAUACAUAUGUGUAUAUGUAUCAUUAAAGUCUCAAGCAGACUAUAUAUGGUUAACAGUUGUCAUUUCCAGGUAGGAAUUAAUGGAUGUUGUUAACUUCAUUUCUGAUUGUUUAUCUGUUUAUAAAAAUGUUACUUUUGGAAGUAAAUACAUAUUUACUUUUUAGGCAAAAGAAGCCUCUGGGAAGAUAAUUUAGUAGUAGCCACCAAAACUUUGUAACCUUUAUGCCAUCAAUUCUGUUCUAGUAAUGCACUCUACAGAAAUCCUUGCACAUGAGUCUGAACUUAAAUACAGUAACUGCAGCCUUGUAAAAAUUUAUAAACAACCCAAACACUUCGACUUCGAGGUGAGUGGUUGGAUUGGCUAUGGCAUCUCCAUAGUAUGGCAAAUGCUAUUAAAAAUAAAAAUGAGGAAGGUA